rnacentral:rRNA from 1 species
AACGAACGCUGGCGGCAGGCUUAACACAUGCAAGUCGAACGCACCGCAAGGGGAGUGGCAGACGGGUGAGUAACGCGUGGGAACAUACCCUUUCCUGCGGAAUAGCUCUGGGAAACUGGAAUUAAUACCGCAUACGCCCUACGGGGGAAAGAUUUAUCGGGGAAGGAUUGGCCCGCGUUGGAUUAGCUAGUUGGUGGGGUAAAGGCCUACCAAGGCGACGAUCCAUAGCUGGUCUGAGAGGAUGAUCAGCCACAUUGGGACUGAGACACGGCCCAAACGCCUACGGGAGGCAGCAGUGGGGAAUAUUGGACAAUGGGCGCAAGCCUGAUCCAGCCAUGCCGCGUGAGUGAUGAAGGCCUUAGGGUUGUAAAGCUCUUUCACCGAUGAAGAUAAUGACGGUAGUCGGAGAAGAAGCCCCGGCUAACUUCGUGCCAGCCGCCGCGGUAAUAC